AAGUCCCUGUAUAUUAAGUAGACCUUUGUGUGUCGCUCAAGUACCGAACGGCCUGGAAACACUGAGCCAAAGGGACGCCGCUCAGUCUGCAGCCAGUGUGGCGGCGUAUCUUGUGUGGUGCGCGUGUGUAUCGCAUUGUGUUCCUCCUCAAAGACUUAGUGGUGGUCAAGAUAACCAGGAUUGGCCAAGCCCUCCCUGAAGUGUGCUACCAGUAGUGUACCAGCGUGGCUUCCUUCAGUUUGAGUGAGGCACGCCUCUUCCUGCGGCACUUACAGAGAGCCUGACUGCUGAACGAGUGGCCAGUGGCGAUUUGCAUCAAUAACGACCACCACCACCACCACCACCACCACCACCAGCAUGUCAGUAGUAGCAGGAGUAGUGAAUGGUCACUCGUAUGUGGUGACUACUUGGACUAUCAGGCCGGCCUUGUAGUGUGCUGGACUAUCGGUCAACAAUGAGCCGAGAAAGUUACGUGGUACAACUAUUUCGGCGAUAGUAGUGGUUAGCGAAAAUGGCGGCGGAGGAGCUCAAGGAUGAAGCCAACGACUAUUUGAAAAAAUUAAGAAAAUUGAAGCCUUCUCUCAGACAUGAAUAAAGAAGAGCAAUUCGUGACAAACAGGCAAACAAGCAAACAAACAAACAAACAAGGACAGCGUUGAGUCUCGCAGGUCACGCCAGCCUCUCGGAAACUGUUGCUUGCUUCACCUAGCAAUUGUGAACCACCAAGCAAAAACCGAGCCACCCUAUUGAUCGACAGGGGAUCACCAUCAGCCCUUCCAUUGGCCCAGAGCUUCGUGGAUUGUGAUUGGACGGCUGGCUGGCUGACCUGACUUGACCUGACCUCAACUGAGCCAACGUGAUUUACGUUUUCCUCGUUGACACUGGCACCAUGAUGACCUUUGACAUGAACCUGGCACUAGAGAGUGUUAAGGUGGUGAAGGGUGCAAUACACAAUGUUGUCAAGGUGCCCCCAGACAAGCAGGUGUUUUUGGCCUCUGGGGGUGAAACACUGGACUCCUGCAAGCUGGUGUGUCAUUACUCGGCCGGCACAGACACAUCCCCCAUCUUUCUGUUCUCCAAGGUGGCCAUUGAGGGAGCAGCCCCCCAACCCACUCUGUGCAGCCUGGCAGGGACGGCGACCUCAGGGCACACGUGGAGGGGUGCCUCAACAUGCCAGCCACCUACAACAGUGUGGUGGUGCGGACACAGUUAGCGCAGCAGUUUUACGAGCACGCCAGUGAGGUCACCAGAACUUGUUCACAACCAGCAUCUGCAGCAACAAGGCUGGGCAGUAGUGUUGGGCAACUCGGAAGACGUUGUGGCAGCCUUCAGAGCAAGACAUGAUGCAUUCCAGCAAAACUUUGUAAUCUCAGUGGCUGGGAAGAGAAGGUCGCCCUGCUUUACUUUUUUGAAGAGGACCUGAAGUUACUGGCAAGGAUUCCAGUCUUCCCUGAACUCUUGGGGAAGACACAAGAGGAAGAGGAAGAGGAGGAAGCUGGGAAGAAGAGGAGGACAAGCACAGCACAGAAGAAAGAGGAGGAGGAAGAGAAGGAAGAUGAGGAGGAGGAGGAGGAGGAAGAAGAGGAAGAGCAUGAGAAGGAGAAGAGGGCAGGAGGCGAAGGAGAAAAAAGAGAAACACAGCAGCAGACUCGGGUACUGUUACAGCUCUGCUCCCUCCUACAGGACACGUUCCCAUCACCUUCACGUCCUGGACACGUGCACAAACUUGUACCUGGGCAGUCUCACUGCAGCAACUGCCAGUGCUGUGGCUGGGUGGCAGGAGGGAGGGACAAGCUGGCCACCCUCUCUGUCACCACCUGCUGGGGAAAGACCACCAUUAUCAUCAUCUUUGUUUUCCUUUUUUGUUUUCUUUCACAAUUUACAAGGAAUAUUAACAGUUUGUUUUGUUAGUGUUGUCUGUUUGUUAUUAAAUGAUGUGUUGAUUGUGUUGUUGUUGUUUAUGUGUUAGUUGUUUUUGUGUUUUGUAUGUGUGACUGAUGAAUAAAGGCAGUCCUGUCACACUUAC